rnacentral:rRNA from 1 species
CGGGACGGGUGAGUAAUGUCUGGGAAACUGCCUGAUGGAGGGGGAUAACUACUGGAAACGGUAGCUAAUACCGCAUAACGUCGCAAGACCGAAGAGGGGGACCUUCGGGCCUCUUGCCAUCGGAUGUGCCCAGAUGGGAUUAGCUAGUAGGUGGGGUAACGGCUCACCUAGGCGACGAUCCCUAGCUGGUCUGAGAGGAUGACCAGCCACACUGGAACUGAGACACGGUCCAG